AGUGAACGCUGGCGGUAGGCCUAACACAUGCAAGUCGAACGGCAGCACAGUAAGAGCUUGCUCUUACGGGUGGCGAGUGGCGGACGGGUGAGGAAUACAUCGGAAUCUACUUUUUCGUGGGGGAUAACGUAGGGAAACUUACGCUAAUACCGCAUACGACCUACGGGUGAAAGCAGGGGAUCUUCGGACCUUGCGCGAUUGAAUGAGCCGAUGUCGUAUUAGCUAGUUGGCAGGGUAAAGGCCCACCAAGGCGACGAUCCGUAGCUGGUCUGAGAGGAUGAUCAGCCACACUGGAACUGAGACACGGUCCAGACUCCUACGGGAGGCAGCAGUGGGGAAUAUUGGACAAUGGGCGCAAGCCUGAUCCAGCCAUACCGCGUGGGUGAAGAAGGCCUUCGGGUUGUAAAGCCCUUUUGUUGGGAAAGAAAAGCAGCAGGUUAAUACCCCGCUGUUCUGACGGUACCCAAAGAAUAAGCACCGGCUAACUUCGUG
rnacentral:rRNA from 1 species